AGCAGUCGCCACGGUAAAACGUAGGGUGCAAGCGUUAAUCGGAAUUACUGGGCGUAAAGCGUGCGUAGGUGGUGGUUUAAGUCCGUUGUGAAAGCCCUGGGCUCAACCUGGGAAUUGCAGUGGAUACUGGGUCACUAGAGUGUGGUAGAGGAUAGUGGAAUUUCCGGUGUAGCAGUGAAAUGCGUAGAGAUCGGAAGGAACAUCUGUGGCGAAGGCGACUAUCUGGGCCAACACUGACACUGAGGCACGAAAGCGUGGGGAGCAAACAGGAUUAGAUACCCGCGUAGUCCCUGUCUCUUAUAC
rnacentral:rRNA from 1 species